rnacentral:rRNA from 1 species
GAUUGAACGCUGGCGGCAGGCUUAACACAUGCAAGUCGAGCGGAGAGAGGUAGCUUGCUACUGAUCUUAGCGGCGGACGGGUGAGUAAUGCUUAGGAAUCUGCCUAUUAGUGGGGGACAACAUUUCGAAAGGAAUGCUAAUACCGCAUACGUCCUACGGGAGAAAGCAGGGGAUCUUCGGACCUUGCGCUAAUAGAUGAGCCUAAGUCGGAUUAGCUAGUUGGUGGGGUAAAGGCCUACCAAGGCGACGAUCUGUAGCGGGUCUGAGAGGAUGAUCCGCCACACUGGGACUGAGACACGGCCCAGACUCCUACGGGAGGCAGCAGUGGGGAAUAUUGGACAAUGGGCGCAAGCCUGAUCCAGCCAUGCCGCGUGUGUGAAGAAGGCCUUAUGGUUGUAAAGCACUUUAAGCGAGGAGGAGGCUACUUUAGAUAAUACCUAGAGAUAGUGGACGUUACUCGCAGAAUAAGCACCGGCUAACUCUGUGCCAGCAGCCGCGGUAAUACAGAGGGUGCAAGCGUUAAUCGGAUUUACUGGGCGUAAAGCGCGCGUAGGCGGCUAAUUAAGUCAAAUGUGAAAUCCCCGAGCUUAACUUGGGAAUUGCAUUCGAUACUGGUUAGCUAGAGUGUGGGAGAGGAUGGUAGAAUUCCAGGUGUAGCGGUGAAAUGCGUAGAGAUCUGGAGGAAUACCGAUGGCGAAGGCAGCCAUCUGGCCUAACACUGACGCUGAGGUGCGAAAGCAUGGGGAGCAAACAGGAUUAGAUACCCUGGUAGUCCAUGCCGUAAACGAUGUCUACUAGCCGUUGGGGCCUUUGAGGCUUUAGUGGCGCAGCUAACGCGAUAAGUAGACCGCCUGGGGAGUACGGUCGCAAGACUAAAACUCAAAUGAAUUGACGGGGGCCCGCACAAGCGGUGGAGCAUGUGGUUUAAUUCGAUGCAACGCGAAGAACCUUACCUGGCCUUGACAUAGUAAGAACUUUCCAGAGAUGGAUUGGUGCCUUCGGGAACUUACAUACAGGUGCUGCAUGGCUGUCGUCAGCUCGUGUCGUGAGAUGUUNGGGUUAAGUCCCGCAACGAGCGCAACCCUUUUCCUUAUUUGCCAGCGAGUAAUGUCGGGAACUUUAAGGAUACUGCCAGUGACAAACUGGAGGAAGGCGGGGACGACGUCAAGUCAUCAUGGCCCUUACGGCCAGGGCUACACACGUGCUACAAUGGUCGGUACAAAGGGUUGCUACCUAGCGAUAGGAUGCUAAUCUCAAAAAGCCGAUCGUAGUCCGGAUUGGAGUCUGCAACUCGACUCCAUGAAGUCGGAAUCGCUAGUAAUCGCGGAUCAGAAUGCCGCGGUGAAUACGUUCCCGGGCCUUGUACACACCGCCCGUCACACCAUGGGGAGUUUGUUGCACCAGAAGUAGCUAGCCUAACUGCAAAGAGGGCGGUUACCACGGUGUGG